CGGACGGGUGAGUAACGUGUAAAGAACUUACCAUAUAGACUGGGAUAACAGAGGGAAACUUCUGAUAAUACUGGAUAAGUUAGUAUAUCGCAUGAUAUGCAAAUGAAAGCUACGGCACUAAAGGAGAGCUUUGCGUCCUAUUAGCUAGCUGGUAAGGUAAGAGCUUACCAAGGCGAUGAUAGGUAGCCGGCCUGAGAGGGUGGACGGCCACAAGGGGACUGAGAUACGGCCCUUACUCCUACGGGAGGCAGCAGCG
rnacentral:rRNA from 1 species